ACGGUGCAUGAAAUAAUAAUUUUCUUGUUAUGAUUUUGUAGAAAGAGAUUUACUUGAGUUGUUGGCUGGUCAUGAGCCUGUUCAGGAUGGAUAUGAUAAUGAAAGAGGUGAUAGGGUAGAAAGUGAUGACAAGUUAAGUGAUGAGGAGGAAGAAAUCAACCAGGCUGUACCAUUCAAGUGCAUCUGUGGGAAAGGCAUACCUCACUCUUCAUGAACAAGAUAAACCAGUGAAUGUAAGAAUACGGCCAGAGCCAUUGAAUCCAAGGGACCCAAGUGCAAUAGCAAUUGAUCUAGACUAUGGAACUGGAUGGCCCCAUGUUGGUUAUAUAUUGCUUCUGAACUAUGCAAGUAUCCGCACCCAUUAAUUGCUGCAAGAGAUGUCGUGGAUGUCUAAUAUGUUCAGCAUAUCAAGUAUAGGAUUGACUUUUUUAAAAUAGGAUUUUAUCCAAAACAUUUUGCAGAGACAUGGUUAGUGCAUGGGAGACUUAAGUGGUAGGAAAAGCAUGAGUGUAUGUUGACAGAUGUUUUUAUAUAAAUAAUAGCAACUAACUAUGUUUAGCAAGUUAUUGAAGUGCAUUUAUUUCAAUUGGCUAACUUUUUAGAUUUUUUCCAGCAUUUUUUAAACAAACCAUGGGUUAUAAAUGAUAACUUUCUAUAUCUAAUUAAAACAAUCUGUCAUGUACACUCAUGCAAAAUAAGUACAUAACUGUAAAAAUGUGCUUUAGUAAAUAAAUGAGUAAUUUAUCCAUGCACUUGACCUACUUUGUUUGUAAUUUUUUCAGAUUAAAAUUAAUGCAACAAUAAAACAAGAAGAUGUCUAUUUAUAUAAUUGCACAGGUCAAUUCCUGGAGUAACCAUCCCCCCGGGACACCCCUGGGAAUUUGCCUAAUAGACAGUUCACAGGGGUCGGGAAUUUACCUGUCAUAUACGUGCACAGGGGCCGGGUACGUGUACAGGGGCCGGGUAUUGGGCCCGGGGAUUUGACAAAUGGUUUCACUUUUGCAAAACUUAUUACCUGUGCCAUGCAAAUAAAGUUUUAUAAUAUUCCAUAGCAGCUUAAUAGUAUAAUGUUAUUAAAUGACUAUGCCUAUGAUAUGCAUUCAUCGUCCCCGGGGUGGGGCAUUUUCCACUCUCAGCUUGCCCAAGGGCCGUGCAUUAGUCUCCUACUCCUAGUUGUGUCCCGGCACACUUCUUCUAUUAACUGUGCACUAUCGUAACCAGUCAAAUCAAAUGCCCAGGUGUGUUCCCGGGGGGGAGGGGGGGGUGAUGGUUACUCCUGGAAUUGACUCGUGCAUAAUAUUUAUUAAAUUUCAAUAAAUUGACCACAAUACAAUAAAAAUACAAUAAAAACUUGUUUUAUUGUUUUAAAACAAGUGGAUCUCUCUGCUGGUUUGAAAUGGGCUGUUAUAACACUGAGUUGUCCAUGAUGAGGAUUCCGUAGCUCGAUUUGCAACAAAAACCCCAGGAUCAGGCGAUCAGCUCGUAUGGGAAUAUGUACACGAUCCAGUCGCGUCGGCCAAAGACAGAAAAAACUUUGAAAAUUGCAUAAUAUAUAAAUUCUACAAAAAUAUUGAAACAACUCCUAAGUCUUCUAAAUAAUAUUUUAACACUUUAACAAAAAUUCAUUGAAAAUAUAAUCUUUGAUGGCG